rnacentral:rRNA from 1 species
UGAAAUCUGGCCCCCGGGUCCGAGUUGUAAUUUGUAGAGGAUGCUUUUGGUGCGGUACCUUCCGAGUUCCCUGGAACGGGACGCCAUAGAGGGUGAGAGCCCCGUCUGGUUGGACGCCAAACCUUUGUAAAGCUCCUUCGACGAGUCGAGUAGUUUGGGAAUGCUGCUCUAAAUGGGAGGUAUAUGUCUUCUAAAGCUAAAUAUUGGCCAGAGACCGAUAGCGCACAAGUAGAGUGAUCGAAAGAUGAAAAGCACUUUGAAAAGAGAGUUAAAAAGUACGUGAAAUUGUUGAAAGGGAAGCGCUCAUGACCAGACUUGGGCCCGGUUCAUCAUCCAGGGUUCUCCCUGGUGCACUCUUCCGGCCCAGGCCAGCAUCAGUUCGCUGUGGGGGAUAAAGGCUUCGGGAAUGUGGCUCCCUCGGGAGUGUUAUAGCCCGUCGUGUAAUACCCUGCGGCGGACUGAGGUUCGCGCAUUCGCAAGGAU